UCUAAGGCAGGCACGGCUAACACAGGUUAUGGAGAAAACCGGAGAACCCGAAGGAAACCCUUGAAUCAAAGGAGAGACCUAACAAACUCUACUCACAUAGAUGGAAGGAGGUAAACUUGGCUUUCAAAGAACAGCUCUAGAGUACUUUUGAAUGGAAAAAGUAUGGCAACUUCAACACUCUUAAACAAAGUGUUUAGCUUUUCCUGCAUUUCAGACCACGUGUCAUUCUCUUGAGUAUAGGAUCAUUUGUUUGAGUCGUGGUCGAUCGCUUACAGAAGAUGGUUGCAAUAUAAAACUACUGUAUUACAAAAUAUGAAACUUCUUAGGAAAGACCUAUUGUCUCUCGCCUUAACCGAAAUGGUCGGUUAUAGAAGGUGGUCACUUACUGAGUAGUUGAUACGAUAAAACCUGUUAUGACCGACCAACGACCAACCUUGUUAUAACAAAUGAACUUGCUGAUAACAAAAAAAAAAAAAAAA